UUUUUUUCUUUUCUUUUUCUUUUUUUUUUACAAUGUAUGAGAGAGACUUGAAAGUUUUGGAAUGGCUUAAAGUUCUUGUUUUUACUUUAACUAAGAUACCAAAAAUUUCCAGUCUUUGUUUUGCAGUAAGGUGUCUCGGGACAACAAUCUUAGAUCAUUCUUACUCUGAGGGCUUACACGUUAGGUAGAAGUGCAACGCGUGUAAAACCUCGAAGAAUAAUUUUAAUUUCCCAAAUUAGUUUUACGCUGCGGUUAAACAUACUGUUGAGUCAGGGUCAGGCAACGUUCAGCUUUCAGGAUCCUGACUACGGAUGUCACCGUUUCGUGAUCUUACCUGUCACCGCACUGCUGAGCGCUGGCAAGAGCUGAGUUUUGAGUGAAAAGGAGGGGGGGGNNNNNNNNNNNNNNNNNNNNNNNNNNNNNNNNNNNNNNNNNNNNNNNNNNNNNNNNNNNNNNNNNNNNNNNNNNNNNNNNNNNNNNNNNNNNNNNNNNNNNNNNNNNNNNNNNNNNNNNCUGCGCGGCCGCUGCGCGCCCCGGCGCGCUGCCCGGCGGCGGGGGAAGGAAGAGGGAGGGUGACCUGCCUCGGUUUUUGUCUGCCGAACAGAACUACUCUAAGUUAGCCAACAAGCUGCUUUACAACGUCUCGAUGAGCGCGGGCGAGAGCAGCUUUUUUUAGUAGUUUGGGUUUUGUUUUGUUUUUUUUUUUUCCUUUUUCAACGUUCUUUUGGUUGAGUGAGAUGCAGCCCUGAGUGCAGCACCAACAACCGAUCGGACCAGUAGGGGACUGUAAUGGUUAUGGCAACCAACUUGCAACACUACAGAAAGAGUGCAUUUCCUCCAAUUCUGAGUACUUACCUGCCGCUUCGUUGCAGGAAUCAGAAUAACCACAAGCGAAGGAAGACUGUCAAAGAUGACAAAGGGAAGAAGAGAAACAACAACUCAGCAUUUAGUGAGGAAGGUAAAGAAGGUAUGAUGAAACAAGCCCUGCUGGACCAGUACCACCUUGAAAUGUGUAAGGAUCUCUACAGACAAAGAAAUGCCACGUAUGUGCAUUACCGAGACUUGCUGAAUAAGAAAGUUCAAAAGCAGCGAAUUCAGAUUCAAAUGUCUGAUUGUAGGCUCAAGCAAAAUCUUGAACAGCAAAGAAGAAGAAAGUGUAUCCCUGGACAUCAAGUGCCAUACUGCAAAUUGUCUCACGAUGCUAAGUACCUCGAGUCUAUUCCUCAGUCCUGUAAUUACCUGAUUGUAGGACUACAGAAUGAACUGAUUAAGCGUGGGGUCUUAAAGAACCAACAGGACUGUGAAGACUUUUGGACUCUGAUUCCCCAGAGCUGUCACAGUUCACAGCUCAAAGGAAAACUUGAGGACAUAAAAUCAAAAAUGAUUGCUUCCAAAAGUUUGCCUUCCCGUGUCCCUGUAAGAACCAGUACAGCACAGCCAACUGAUGUUUUUCUAAGCCAAAGAUAUGGGAAGCUGAAAGAAAGCUCAGCCAAUGUGUCAGAAUCAAUGUGCUGCCAACCUCUACCUCAUCAUCCAAGUAAACACAUGAAGUCCCAAAAAGAAACUGAGCAAAUAUUUCCUAAGCUGCAGUUUUCUAGGCUCUCUGAAUUGCAAAAAAGACCCGAAGAGUUGCUCCAAACUCAGGAGGAGUACAGAAUUUCUAAGAGGAGUAAGAAAUAUUUCGAACAUAAAAAGCGUCUUUUUUACUUGCAUCAUAUCUAUCAUCUUGCCUUUCUUAAUAUGGCGUCAUCCAAGAGACGGCUAGAGCAAAACAACCAGUUUGCAGAUGUUGAAAAUGAGUGCAGUGUCCAUGAUCUGAUGAUUUACUUAUUUCCAAGUGAACAUAAAUCACCAUGUGCCACUAAGAGAGAGACGGAGGGAAAUGUAUUUCCAGGCUUGGCAGGAAGGAAACAGCAGGAACAGCAUUGCAAGAGAUCCUCUAAAGCACGCACGCUUUUCAAAGAAAUGAGAAAUGAAGAUAACGGAGCCAUUGAAAUUCCAGAGGAUUGGAAAUCGAGUGUCAGUGAUUUAGCCCUACAUGAAAUGACCACUGUGCCUCUAACCCUUGAAGAUGUGGCUCUGAAACAUCCAGUGCUGGAAGCUAAAUCAGUCAUUACUUAUUGGACUAAUUAUGCAGAUGAAGAAGAAGAAAUUCCCUAAAGUGGAAUAGAACAACUGAAAUGUAGAAGCUUACAGUAGAAAUUGCCUUUCUUUAAUUUCUCAAAAAGUUGCAGCAGUUAUAGACUAUAUAUAUACACACACACACACACACACACACAGGAAAGUCAGUGUAUUAAUGAUCACCCUGGCCCCAUAUGAAGAAAAGAAUUUUACUACUUACUAAUCAGGCUUGUAUUUGAAUGUAAAACUAACAUUAACAUUUCAAAACGCAAUAAAUAGAUCUUUUUCUCUGAAAAUUGUCCUUCU
rnacentral:lncRNA from 1 species